rnacentral:rRNA from 1 species
AGCGAACGCUGGCGGCAGGCCUAACACAUGCAAGUCGAACGGAUCCUUCGGGAUUAGUGGCAGACGGGUGAGUAACACGUGGGAACGUGCCUUUUGGUUCGGAACAACUCAGGGAAACUUGAGCUAAAUACCGGAUGUGCCCUUCGGGGAAAGAUUUAUCGCCAUUAGAGCGGCCCGCGUCUGAUUAGCUAGUUGGUGAGGUAAAGGCUCACCAAGGCUUCGAUCAGUAGCUGGCUGAGAGGAUGAUCAGCCACACUGGGACUGAGGACACGGCCCAGACUCCUACGGGAGGCAGCAGUGGGGAAUCUUGCGCAAUGGGCGAAAGCCUGACGCAGCCAUGCCGCGUGAAUGAUGAAGUCUUAGGAUU